GUUGUUAGUACAGGAGCCGGCAUUCCAUGAGGGGAGAUAGAGAAGCGUCAAAGGAGAAGAAAACAAAACUAGGAAGGAGAGUUGAGAGACAGACUGAAAUGAAGCAUGCGAAUGUUUGUCAUUUUUGAGAAGAAGACAUCCAAAAAAUGAGGCCCCAGAAGGCAAAGAUUUUUUGCCUAGUGGCUUGAAGUGCAUGCCUUUUAUCUAACCCGACAUGUGGUGCUGGAGACUUGUUGAAACUAAUAAGUCAGCCAUCUGAAGUUUCCAGGACCAUCGCAAGAAUGAGAAGAAAAAAACCUAGGAGUGCUUCAGUGGAAAAGGUUUUGGAGAAAAGAGAGACAAAUUGUCGCAAGGAUGUUAUUGGUGACCUUAGGGAUCACGGCAAGGGCAAGAGCAAGAGCAACAAGAUCUCUCCCUCCUUAAAAGAAAACUUAGAAUUACCAAAAUGUAAAGAAGAGGUAGAUCCGCAAUGGCAGAGUGUUGGUCAGAAGAGUACAGUUCAUGAACUAGAUGAAAGAAAUGUGCCUCAUAAGGAGGAAAAACCAACAUCUGAAGGCAAGGAUAAGUCAAAGGAGACUAGGUAAUGGAAAGCCUGCAGCUUUUUUAACCAAGGAAAGUUUGAGGGUUGAAAUUGGUGCAGUUCUUGAUGAUAAAAAAGAAUAUUACUCAUGGUGUUGCUCCUCGUGGUAGUAAAACGCAGAAGCAUAAAUCACAUAAUCAUAACAAGGGCAACGAUAAUAACAUAGAUCCGUUAAAGGGCAAAAAUUUGGAACAAUCAGAUAGCAAUAUGGAUCCAAGAGAGAGGCCUUGGGGGGAUAUUCCAAAGGAUGCUUACCUCGAUGAUGUUGAAGCAGAACAAAAAAUGGUCCUGGAUAAACCAUUGAAAACAUUAAAUGGUAAAAAGGUCUAUAAUCAGUUGGUUUCAGAGGCAACUUUAAAAGGUGCUCCAAAUUCAUUGCAUCCUGUGAUGGCAAAUGGACAUGCUUAACAGUUGAUACCGGCAGCAGUCACUCCUGUAGUUAUCAAAGAAUAUUGGGUGUGCUGUGACAGUUUUCAGAAAUGGAGGCUUCUACCUUUUGGUAGUCAGCCAAAGCAACUCCCCGAGAAAUGGUUGUGUAGAAUGCUAAUCUGGCUGCCUGGAAUGAACCGGUGCGACAUCGGUGAGGAGGAGACAACAAAAGCACUAAAUGCAUUGUACCAACUACCGGUUUCUGACCAUCAAAGUAGCCCGCAGAAUCAGGCUAAUGGAAGCGCAUCUAAAGUAACUGCAGUUGGCGUCCAACAUCCGGACCAGAAUCUCCAUAAUAACAAUUCCCAUUCUAUAUCUAACCGAGAAAAAAAUGAGACA